rnacentral:lncRNA from 1 species
UGGCAAGUGCAGAUUCUUUUUCUCUCAUUUUGUUGUGUUCCUUUGUUCUUAGUUCUUACUUUUUCCUCAGCCAAUUUAAUCUUCGGCUCAGAUGAAAUCUCUUAUUUAGCUUUCUGAAAGUCCCAAUCAAAAUGUAAUUCACAACUUCAUUCUCCCAUUGCAGCUUCAGCAAUGUUUUUGACCAAAACGAAGUGAGGCUCUCCUUUAAUCGCUUGGUUGUUGACCUUGCAGCCCAAAAUUGCUUCAUUGAAGCUCUUAUCC